UGCCUCACAAAGACGAACAAAGCUGACU
rnacentral:piRNA from 1 species